GUGCGGCCCCAGGAGCCCGGCCCUCUUAGGAGACGCUGACUAAGAGAGAACAGCCCAGCGACGGCAGGAGCUUCCAGGACGGCGAGGCAGCUUGCUUUUUGCCCGAGGCGGAUUCGCAUCCCCGGAUGUCCAAGCGAGAUAAGUGGAGGGGAUGCAAGCGGGGUGUCGGUUUGGGGCUCGCCAGGAGGGAAUAUGGAGUCAGCUUUGGAGAUGGGGAUGUCUAAGAAGGGGCCCCUUAGGCCCCAUGAAGGCAAAGCCUCACUUUUGGUCACAAUGCUGAUGUGUGCAGGGCAGAGCAGUCCUGGUGCAUGUCGUGUCACUUGUCUGUUGUAUGUUCUGUCUCUAUUCGCAUCUCGUGUGUUCUGCCUCAGCCCUUCGAUGUGCUUGUGGUCAUUCUUCUCACCGAGACUUUUCUCUCCUUGUUGUGCCCCCUUGUUUGCCAUCUGCUGGUGCCUGCAUGGGUUUGGUGCAGAGCUGCUCUGCCCUGCUGCAUGGCCUGGCCUAUAGCCAUAAUAGGACCGGGUCCUGGGUUUUGAGAUCUGUAAUGUAGGGUGUAGUUUGACCUCAAGAUGGUCUUCCUAGAUUGACACAGGAUGGCUGGAGCUGUUAAGUUCUCAUGCAGCCCUUUGAGUUUUGUCAUCACUUUCUUUCAGGUGCAGAUGGCAUAAAUCCGUGGCAGGGUGCCCCACACCGGGUGAGGAUGUUCCUGCAGGAAGGAGGUAAAGCUGGAUAGCAGCAGUCAAGGUGAAGUGAGCAGGGUGAUCCACUUGUAUUACACCAAAACCCCUCGCUGACCGGCUGAUGGACCCAGCUCACUGCCCUCGUGAGCCCUCUGGAAGUGUUACGGGACUCUGUGACAAAGCCUUUACCUUUUGCAUUCGGAGGUACCAUCUGAGUAGCCUUGGGCAACGGCAGAGGUGUUAUGGCGAGUUGGGGAGUGAGGGAGGAGUGAGGUUCCGCUCAAGUUUCAGCAAUGCUGCACCACCUUGUCUCCUCUUAACCCAGGCAUACCAUCGGCCUCGGAGCGUGGCCAAAGCGUGCGGCCUGAGGACCCCGGCCUUCCUAGGAGACGCCGACUAGGAGAUGGCAGGAACUUCCCGGACAGCGAGGCAGCCUUAUUUUGCACCCGAGGUGGAUUCACAUCCCGGACAUCCGAGAGAUAAGUCGAGGGUUACGACCCACAGAGGGGAUGAAAGCAGGGUGCCGGGUCGGGCCUCGCCGGAAGGGAUUUUUGAGUCAGCUUUGAAGGCGGGAAUGUCCAAGAAGGGGCCCCUUAGCCCACAUAAAGGGCAAGUCUCACUUUUGAUCACAAUGUCGAGGCGGGCAGAGCAGUCCUGGUGUGUGUUGUGUCACCUGUCUAUUGUAUGUUCUGUGUCUUUUGGGCAUCUUGCGUCUUAGGUCUUUUUCCUUAGCCCUUCGAGGGGCCAGCUUAUCAGAAAUGCUGGGCAUCAUCCUUAGCAUCCUUGGCCGGGUGCCGAUACCGUGAGACCUUUGACCGACGAGCACGGAUGUGCAUCGGAAUCGCAUCUCCCUUUAGAAGCAUUGAGCCAGAGGUCUUUUAUGGUCUUGUUGUGAGCUGUAUUCACAGCUGUGCACCGCAGUGAUUCAUUACAGGGGAUUAAGACUUGUCAGAAUGCAAGGAGUGGUAGAGGAUUCUGACCGUGCGAUUCUCGGGCAUCCAUCUUUGCGGUUCUUGGAAGAAGCCCUUCUGUUAGCAUCUUCUUCAAGCCUCGUUGGUCUCACUGAGACCAUCUCGCUCUGCAUUCUCUCGGUCCUCGCGGUCAUUCCUCUUGCCAGAGUUUUCUCUCUUCAUCGCAUUUCCUCGUUUGUCAUUUCCUGUGUCACAGGUACCUGCGUGGGUUUGGCCCGGAGCUGCUCUGCCCUGCCGCGUAGUCUGGUGUAUAGGUGUAGUAGGACAAGUCCCAAGGCCUUUGAAAUUUGUUAUGUAGGGCGUAGUUUGGCCUCUAGAUGGUAUUCCUAGAUUAACACAGGAUGGCUGGAGCUGUUAAGUUCUCAUGCAGGACUCUGACUUUUGUCAUCGCUUUCUUUCAGAUGCAGACGGAUGAAAUCUGUGGCAGGGUGCCCCAGACUGGGUGAGGGGGUUCCCGCAGGAAGGAGCUAAAGCCGGAUAGCAGCAGUCAAGGUUGAUGGAGUGAGGGGGUCCACUUUUUUAAUGCCGAACCUCCUCGCCGACCGGCCGACGGACCCGCUUUGCCGCUGUUGUGAGUGGUCUGGAAGUAUUAUGGGGCUCUGCAAUGAAGCCGUUACAUUUUCUGUUCUGAGGUACCUUCUGGUACAUCCAUGGCUGUGGAGUUGCGAGCGUGGCCGAAGCGUGUGGUCCGAGGACCCCAGCCUUCUUAGGA